rnacentral:rRNA from 1 species
CAGUCGCCGCGGUAAUACGAGGGGGGCAAGCGUUGUUCGGAAUUAUUGGGCGUAAAGGGUGCGUAGGCGGUUUGAUAAGUCAUCUGUGAAAUCUCUGGGCUCAACCCAGAGUCUGCAGGCGAAACUGUCGGGCUUGAGUAUGGGAGAGGUGAGUGGAAUUUCCGGUGUAGCGGUGAAAUGCGUAGAUAUCGGAAGGAACACCUGUGGCGAAAGCGGCUCACUGGACCAUAACUGACGCUGAUGCACGAAAGCUAGGGGAGCAAACAGGAUUAGAUACCCGCGUAGUCCCUGUCUCUUAUAC